rnacentral:lncRNA from 1 species
AACCCUAAACCCUAAACCCUAAAGCCCUAAACUCGAAACCCUAAAAUCUAAAAUCAUAAAUCCUAAAACCCUAAAUCCCAAACCCUAAACCCUAAAAGCCUAAUCCUAAAACCCUAAACCCUAAAUUCCAAAUCCCAAAUCCUAAAUCCUAAUUCCUAAACCCCAAACACUAAAUCUGAAACCCUAAAUCAUAAAUGCGAAACCCAAAAUCCUAAAUCCUAAAUCCUAAAACCCCACACCCUAAACCCCAAACCCUAAUUCCUAAAUCCCAAACACUAAAGCCUAAAACCCUAAACCCCAA